UACGGGAGGCAGCAGUGGGGAAUAUUGCACAAUGGGCGAAAGCCUGAUGCAGCUAUGCCGCGUGUAUGAAGAAGGCCUUAGGGUUGUAAAGUACUUUCAUCGGGGAGGAAAAAACAAACUAAUAAUUUUAUUUCUUGACGUUACCCGAAAAAGAAGCACCGGCUAACUCCGUGCCAGCAGCCGCGGUAAUACGGAGGGUGCUAGCGUUAAUCAGAAUUACUGGGCGUAAAGAGCACGUAGGUGGUUUUUUUAAGUCAGAUGUGAAAUCCCUGGGCUUUAACCUAGGAACUGCAUUUUGAAACUGAAAUACUAGAGUAUCGUAGAGGGAGGUAGAAUUCUAGGUGUAGCGGUGAAAUGCGUAGAUAUCUGGAGGAUACCUGUGGCGAAAGCGGCCUCCUAAACGAAUACUGACACUGAGGUGCGAAAGCGUGGGGAGCAAACAGGGAUUAGAUACC
rnacentral:rRNA from 1 species